CAAAGCGAGCCGGUCGGGCGGCGGGAAGGCGGGAAGGUGGUCUUGUUUGGUCAUGUUACGUCGUCCAUCUUUGGUUUGGUGUGUUUAUCGUGGUUUUCGUCAAGGUCGACAUAUCGACGACGUUCCGUUUGCGUCGUUUUGCCGUGCGUACAUGAGGCUGAUGAGGCCGCGUACGCGAUUAACACGUGAGAACUGAAAAGCAAGUGACGAAGAGGAACAGUGCCAAUUGCACAUGGAUCGAGGUCGACCCCGUAAAGAUCAUGCUACAUGGAUGGUGCUGCGACUGAGAAGAUUGUGUGUUGUGAACAAGAUUGCAUGUGCUGCAGCUCCAUGCAGAGUUGUCCUGCAGUGGCACAGGUAGACAAGGGUACAUCUGUGCAAUGUUCGCUGUGCCAGCUGAAAGCCCAGGUGCAAAGUCAGCGACACCCAAGGGUUCUCCAGCGUAUGGGUCACGUCAUGAAUUCAACAACAAGCUCAUUAUGAAAUCUAGUUUAACUGGGAUGCCAAAUAAAAAUGUGUACAACCAGA